ACAUAUGAGGGUUGUGGUGUGGGACUCAAUUUAGCUCAACAAGCAACAAGUGUUGUGGAGGCAAUCAGGCCAUACUGGGAGAUUCUUUCAGAUGGAUGCAGAAGGGAGAAGGAAGGUCUUUACUGUGCAUCCUCGGUGGGACGGACUAAGACGCGAGGAAGGAAGGCAAGUGGAGGAGCUAGGGAUGCAAUGUAAGGACCUGGGAUGCAGCAAAUGAAGGCUGCUGCAGGCUGAGGCUGGAGAGCAUGUUAAGCUGCUGGAGAAACACCCCGAGAGACUGUUUCUGAUUGAAGAUGAAGACGCUGAAAGACUAUUCUUUUAAAACCUGAACUGCAAGACAGAGCGCAGAGUCAAGUAGAGGCUGGAGCUGCACCCCUGUGUGUUGGCCGUCUCGAUGAGUGCCGACCUGGAGUGGAGGUCGCCUUAAGACACGUGUUCGUUGAGUCAGCAGGCCCAUCUUCAGACGCGAACAAAAGAACUUCAUGGAUGAAAGCUAAUUACGCGGUGUGGCGAGAAGACGGGGCGGCGUGCAUAAUGCAGGAAACGGGGAGCCGAGGUGGUUAAUUGGGGUAUGUGAUUACACAGGGCUGUAGUUAGAGGGAAUUAGGCAACAACACACUCUGCA